rnacentral:rRNA from 1 species
AGAACGAACGCUGGCGGCAGGCUUAACACAUGCAAGUCGAGCGCUGUAGCAAUACAGAGCGGCAGACGGGUGAGUAACGCGUGGGAACAUACCCUCCGGUUCGGAAUAACUCAGGGAAACUUGAGCUAAUACCGGAUACGGUCGAGAGGCGAAAGAUUUAUCGCCGGAGGAUUGGCCCGCGUCCGAUUAGCUAGUUGGUGUGGUAAUGGCGCACCAAGGCGACGAUCGGUAGCUGGUCUGAGAGGAUGAUCAGCCACAUUGGGACUGAGACACGGCCCAAAACUCCUACGGGAGGCAGCAGUGGGAAUAUUGGACAAUGGGCGAAAGCCUGAUCCAGCCAUGCCGCGUGAGUGAUGAAGGCCUUAGGGUUGUAAAGCUCUUUCGCCCAGACGAUAAUGACGGUAGUGGGAGAAGAAGCCCGGCUAACUUCGUGCCAGCAGCCGC